rnacentral:ribozyme from 1 species
AUAAGUCCUUUGCCCUGUAACGGGAUGGGAUCUAAAGCCUCCUGAAGAUUCCAUCCAACUCCUAUUCCGGCACGUCAACGUCGUGCAGAGUGGUAACAUGGGUCCAAGUCCAGCCAUUCGGCUGGAUGAAGGCUCAUGGCUAAGAAGGAGGGG